rnacentral:rRNA from 1 species
UACAGAGGGUGCGAGCGUUAAUCGGAAUUACUGGGCGUAAAGCGCGCGUAGGCGGCUCUGCAAGUCGGGUGUGAAAUCCCCAGGCUUAACCUGGGAACUGCAUUCGAGACUGCAUUGCUAGAGUAUGGGAGAGGGAAGUGGAAUUUCCGGUGUAGCGGUGAAAUGCGCAGAUAUCGGGAGGAACACCAAUGGCGAAGGCAGCUCGCUGGGACGGUACUGACGCUGAGGCGCGAAAGCGUGGGGAGCAAACAGG